AUCUUCUUAGUAUAACUAAUAUUAAUGACUUCCAAUCAUUAGAUCUAAGAGAAAUUUUAGAGAAGAUA
rnacentral:tRNA from 1 species